rnacentral:lncRNA from 1 species
GCGUGUAUGUGCUGUGUUUGAAAUAAUUUUAGCUUAAGCAAAUAAUUCAGUAGUUGAAAGUUGAAAGUUGAUUUUUCUCCGAAAUUGUUUUCCAAGAACAUCGAUCCGUGCACACUGACUCAAUUAGCUAUAGAUAAGAUUGUUUAUCAAAACUCUGAAUUAAUGACAUCUAUCUUAGUUUCUCAUAAUGAUUUAAUCCUCGUC